rnacentral:rRNA from 1 species
GAGUCGGACCUGCCCAGUGAAUAUUUUUAACGGCCGCGGUACUCUGACCGUGCAAAGGUAGCAUAAUCAUUUGCCCUAUAAUUGAGGGCUAGUAUGAAUGGUUUGACGUGAACAAAACUGUCUCUAUGUAAUUUUUUAGAAUUUGAUUUUUAGGUGAAGAAACCUAAAUAUUAUUGAAAGACAAGAAGACCCUAUUGAGCUUUAAAAAAAUAAAUUGAAAAUAAUAUAUAACUUUAAAUAUUAGUCAAUUAAAGAUUUUGGUUGGGGCGACUAUGGAACAAAUAAAGCUUCUUUAUUAUAAUUAAAACUAACAGGUAUUGAUCCAGAAAUUUUGAUUAAUGAAAUUAGUUACCAUAGGGAUAACAGCAUAAUUCUCUUUGAGAGCCCUCAUCGAAAAGAGAGUUUGUGACCUCGAUGUUGGACUAGAAUAUCCUAAAGAUGCAGCAGUCUUUAAGGGUUGGUC